CGUAACAAGGUCUCCGUAGGUGAACCUGCGGNNNNAUCAUUANNCAAAUAUGAAGGCGGGCUGGAACCUCUCGGGGUUACAGCCUUGCUGAAUUAUUCACCCUUGUCUUUUGCGUACUUCUUGUUUUCUUGGUGGGUUCGCCCACCACUAGGACAAACAUAAACCUUUUGUAAUUGCAAUCAGCGUCAGUAACAAAUUAAUAAUUACAACUUUCAACAACGGAUCUCUUGGUUCUGGCAUCGAUGAAGAACGCAGCGAAAUGCGAUAAGUAGUGUGAAUUGCAGAAUUCAGUGAAUCAUCGAAUCUUUGAACGCACAUUGCGCCCUUUGGUAUUCCAAAGGGCAUGCCUGUUCGAGCGUCAUUUGUACCCUCAAGCUUUGCUUGGUGUUGGGCGUCUUGUCUCUAGCUUUGCUGGAGACUCGCCUUAAAGUAAUUGGCAGCCGGCCUACUGGUUUCGGAGCGCAGCACAAGUCGCACUCUCUAUCAGCAAAGGUCUAGCAUCCAUUAAGCCUUUUUUCAACUUUUGACCUCGGAUCAGGUAGGGAUACCCGCUGAACUUAAGCAUAUCA
rnacentral:rRNA from 1 species